rnacentral:rRNA from 1 species
GUAACACUAACUGGAGGACCGAACCGACUAAUGUUGAAAAAUUAGCGGAUGACUUGUGGCUGGGGGUGAAAGGCCAAUCAAACCGGGAGAUAGCUGGUUCUCCCCGAAAGCUAUUUAGGUAGCGCCUCGUGAAUUCAUCUCCGGGGGUAGAGCACUGUUUCGGCAAGGGGGUCAUCCCGACUUACCAACCCGAUGCAAACUGCGAAUACCGGAGAAUGUUAUCACGGGAGACACACGGCGGGUGCUAACGUCCGUCGUGAAGAGGGAAACAACCCAGACCGCCAGCUAAGGUCCCAAAGUCAUGGUUAAGUGGGAAACGAUGUGGGAAGGCCCAGACAGCCAGGAUGUUGGCUUAGAAGCAGCCAUCAUUUAAAGAAAGCGUAAUAGCUCACUGGUCGAGUCGGCCUGCGCGGAAGAUGUAACGGGGCUAAACCAUG